rnacentral:lncRNA from 1 species
UGUCUUUGGGUUCUGUUGGUGGUUCUCGAGUGGUGUCUCGACGGUUUUCAGAUGAAAAUGUUUGAAGCGUGGGUGAUGGACUCUGUUGAUAUGGGUUGCGGUCGUCUUUUCUAUGAAGACGGAGGUGUUUAGUUCUCUGAAUCUCAGCUUUAUUGCCGUUUGUGGAAUGGUUAUGUUGGAUGGUGACGGUGGCUGGAUGUACCGGAUGAGAUCUCGUCAUCGGACAAUUUGAAGCUCUCCGAGGGGUGGUGAUUUAGAUAUGUGAAGUUUCGUCUCUUAUGUUUGUGGCGUAUGGUAUUGGAUGAGAUCUCGAAGUGUCUCGAUUGAAGCUCUCUAAUGCUUGGAACACAAGAGAUGAAGGAAAGCUGUGAAGUUGGUGGUUCGGAUCUGUUCCCGGCAGAUAUUCCGGUGUUGUUCAGUCGUCGUUGAUUCCCUCCGCGGUCGGUGAAGGAAUGGAGGCGGUUUCCUGCGUCGACAUCAAAUACAACAUCGGUUAAAUAAUAAAUUAACAAUAUUUACAUUUUAUGUAAUCAUAAAUAUAGUAAACAUCAUAAUAUGAUAAUAAACAUAAAAUUAUAUUUUAAAUUUGGUUAAAAAUUAUAGACAAUAUUUUUAUUCUA